rnacentral:rRNA from 1 species
AUGGGCGAAACCCUGAUCCAGCCAUGCCGCGUGUGUGAUGAAGGCCUUCGGGUUAUAAAGCACUUUCGCACGUGACGAUGAUGACGGUAACGUGAGAAGAAGCCCCGGCUAACUUCGUGCCAGCAGCCGCGGUAAUACGAAGGGGGCAAGCGUUGUUCGGAAUUACUGGGCGUAAAGGGCGCGUAGGCGGUGCACUAAGUCAGGCGUGAAAGCCCUGGGCUCAACCCGGGAAUUGCGUUUGAUACUGGUGCGCUUGAAUCCAGGAGAGGUUGGUGGAAUUCCCAGUGUAGAGGUGAAAUUCGUAGAGAUUGGGAAGAACACCGGUGGCGAAGGCGGCCAACUGGACUGGUAUUGACGCUGAGGCGCGAAAGCGUGGGGAGCAAACAGGAUUAGAUACCCUGGUAGUCCACGCCCUAAACGAUGCGUGCUAGCCGUUUGGGGCUCUUAGAGCUUCGGUGGCGUCGCUAACGCUUUAAGCACACCGCCUGGGGAGUACGGUCGCAAGAUUAAAACUCAAAGGAAUUGACNGAAUCACUAGUGAAUUC